GUCGUGAGAUGUUGGGUUAAGUCCCGCAACGAGCGCAACCCUCGUUCCAUGUUGCCAGCGGGUAAUGCCGGGGACUCAUGGGAGACUGCCGGGGUCAACUCGGAGGAAGGUGGGGAUGACGUCAAGUCAUCAUGCCCCUUAUGUCCAGGGCUUCACGCAUGCUACAAUGGCCGGUACAAAGGGCUGCGAUACCGCAAGGUGGAGCGAAUCCCAAAAAGCCGGUCUCAGUUCGGAUCGGGGUCUGCAACUCGACCCCGUGAAGUCGGAGUCGCUAGUAAUCGCAGAUCAGCAUUGCUGCGGUGAAUACGUUCCCGGGCCUUGUACACACCGCCCGUCACGUCACGAAAGUCGGCAACACCCGAAGCCGGUGGCCUAACCCGUAAGGGAGGGAGCCGUCGAAGGUGGGGCUGGCGAUUGGGACGAAGUCGUAACAAGGUAGCCGUACCGGAAGGUGCGGCUGGAUCACCUCCUUUCUAAGGAGCACCUCGCCCGAAAGGGCAUGAGGAGCCCACGCAUCGCGAUUGUCGAUGUGGGGUGCUCAAUGGCGGAGACACUGGCGGAGUCGGAGGCGGCAACGGCCCUUCGACCCUCGUACUGUCUCUCGGUCCGCUUGCGGGGCGAGAGGCGUGGAGCGGGUCGGCUGGUGCGGCUGCGUCUGGCGAUGAACACCCUGUUGGGUCCUGAAGAAACAAGCCCACCUAAGCGUGGGUUCUUGGGUCUUCAGUUGACCAAUCCGAUUCCUUGUCAUCAGACGACGCCGUUCGCGGUGGGCUGUGGUGCGAGGUGGGGUCGGGGUUGGCCGUUGUUUGAGAAUUGCACAGUGGACGCGAGCAUCUUUGUGGUCAAGUUGCCGAGGGCAAACGGUGGAUGCCUGGGCACCAGGAGCCGAUGAAGGACGUGGGAGGCCGCGAUAGGCCUGGGGGAGCUGUCAACCUAGCUACGAUCCCAGGGUGU
rnacentral:sRNA from 1 species